rnacentral:lncRNA from 1 species
CAGAAAGUGCCAUUAGUGAUGAUAGCAAGAGUGGCAGCCAUGCAUUGUGUGCCUGCUGGGCGGCAGGCUCAGCGGGAGGAAGGUGAUGGAAUGAUUAAGGUGUAGGCCCUGGAACUGGGCCAAAGAUUCAUGUCCCAUUUGCCAUUAGUUGCAUGACCCUCGGCAGGAUACUUACCUUCUCUAUGCCUGAGUUUCUCCACCCAUAAAAUGGUGCUAAUGAUGUAUUUACCCAGAGGGUUGAUGUGAGGAUCAGGUGAGAAAG